UGGAGCCCGACUGGGUGGGAACAACGCCGCCGUUGAAUUGAAGAAGGGUUUCGGCUCGUAAAGCUCUGUUGGUAGUGAAGAAAGAUAGAGGAGAAACAGGCCUUUAUUUGACGGUAAUUACUUAGAAAGUCACGGCUAACUACGUGCCAGCAGCCGCGGUAAUACGUAGGUGGCAAGCGUUGUCCGGAUUUAUUGGGCGUAAAGCGAGUGCAGGCGGUUCAAUAAGUCUGAUGUGAAAGCCUUCGGCUCAACCGGAGAAUUGCAUCAGAAACUGUCGAACUUGAGUGCAGAAGAGGAGAGUGGAACUCCAUGUGUAGCGGUGAAAUA
rnacentral:rRNA from 1 species